rnacentral:rRNA from 1 species
CAGCCGCCGCGGUAAUACGUAGGGUGCGAGCGUUAAUCGGAAUUACUGGGCGUAAAGCGUGCGCAGGCGGUUGUGUAAGACAGGUGUGAAAUCCCCGGGCUUAACCUGGGAACUGCGCUUGUGACUGCACAGCUAGAGUAUGGCAGAGGGGGGUGGAAUUCCACGUGUAGCAGUGAAAUGCGUAGAGGUGUGGAGGAACACCGAUGGCGAAGGCAGCCCCCUGGGCCAAUACUGACGCUCAUGCACGAAAGCGUGGGGAGCAAACAGGAUUAGAUACCCGAGUAGUCCCUGUCUCUUAUAC